rnacentral:rRNA from 1 species
CUAUAAGACUGGGAUAACUUCGGGAAACCGGAGCUAAUACCGGAUAAUAUUUUGAACCGCAUGGUUCAAAAGUGAAAGACGGUCUUGCUGUCACUUAUAGAUGGAUCCGCGCUGCAUUAGCUAGUUGGUAAGGUAACGGCUUACCAAGGCAACGAUGCAUAGCCGACCUGAGAGGGUGAUCGGCCACACUGGAACUGAGACACGGUCCAGACUCCUACGGGAGGCAGCAGUAGGGAAUCUUCCGCAAUGGGCGAAAGCCUGACGGAGCAACGCCGCGUGAGUGAUGAAGGUCUUCGGAUCGUAAAACUCUGUUAUUAGGGAAGAACAUAUGUGUAAGUAACUGUGCACAUCUUGACGGUACCUAAUCAGAAAGCCACGGCUAACUACGUGCCAGCAGCCGCGGUAAUACGUAGGUGGCAAGCGUUAUCCGGAAUUAUUGGGCGUAAAGCGCGCGUAGGCGGUUUUUUAAGUCUGAUGUGAAAGCCCACGGCUCAACCGUGGAGGGUCAUUGGAAACUGGAAAACUUGAGUGCAGAAGAGGAAAGUGGAAUUCCAUGUGUAGCGGUGAAAUGCGCAGAGAUAUGGAGGAACACCAGUGGCGAAGGCGACUUUCUGGUCUGUAACUGACGCUGAUGUGCGAAAGCGUGGGGAUCAAACAGGAUUAGAUACCCUGGUAGUCCACGCCGUAAACGAUGAGUGCUAAGUGUUAGGGGGUUUCCGCCCCUUAGUGCUGCAGCUAACGCAUUAAGCACUCCGCCUGGGGAGUACGACCGCAAGGUGAAACUCAAAGGAAUUGACGGA